rnacentral:rRNA from 1 species
GAUGAACGCUGGCGGCGUGCCUAAUACAUGCAAGUCGAGCGAACGGACGCGAAGCUUGCUUCUCUGAUGUUAGCGGCGGACGGGUGAGUAACACGUGGAUAACCUACCUAUAAGACUGGGAUAACUUCGGGAAACCGGAGCUAAUACCGGAUAAUCUUUUGAACCGCAUGGUUCAAAAGAGUAAGACGGUCUUGCUGUCACUUAUAGAUGGAUCCGCGCUGCGUUAGCUAGUUGGUAAGGUAACGGCUUACCAAGGCAACGAUGCAUAGCCGACCGGGGAGGGUGAUCGGCCACACGGGAACUGAGACACGGACCAGACUCCUACGGGAGGCAGCAGUAGGGAAUCUUCCGCAAUGGGCGAAAGCCUGACGGAGCAACGCCGCGUGAGUGAUGAAGGUCUUCGGAUCGUAAAACUCUGUUAUUAGUGAAGAACAUAUGUGUAAGUAACUGUGCACAUCUUGACGGUACCUAAUCAGAAAGCCACGGCUAACUACGUG